rnacentral:rRNA from 1 species
UACGGGGGGGCAAGCGUUGUUCGGAAUUACUGGGCGUAAAGGGCUCGUAGGCGGCCAACUAAGUCGGAUGUGAAAUCCCCAGGCUUAACCUGGGAACUGCAUCCGAUACUGGAUGGCUUGAAUCCGGGAGAGGGAUGCAGAAUUCCAGGUGUAGCGGUGAAAUGCGUAGAUAUCUGGAGGAAUACCGGUGGCGAAGGCGGCAUCCUGGACCGGCAUUGACGCUGAGUGGGCGAAAGCCAGGGGAGCAAACGGG